AUUGAACGCUGGCGGCAGGCUUAACACAUGCAAGUCGAGCGGAGAGAGGUAGCUUGCUACUGAUCUUAGCGGCGGACGGGUGAGUAAUGCUUAGGAAUCUGCCUAUUAGUGGGGGACAACAUUUCGAAAGGAAUGCUAAUACCGCAUACGUCCUACGGGAGAAAGCAGGGGAUCUUCGGACCUUGCGCUAAUAGAUGAGCCUAAGUCGGAUUAGCUAGUUGGUGGGGUAAAGGCCUACCAAGGCGACGAUCUGUAGCGGGUCUGAGAGGAUGAUCCGCCACACUGGGACGGAGACACGGCCCAGACUACUACGGGAGGCAGCAGUGGGGAAUAUUGGACAAUGGGCGGAAGCCUGAUCCAGCCAUGCCGCGUGUGUGAAGAAGGCCUUAUGGUUGUAAAGCACUUUAAGCGAGGAGGAGGCUACUUUAGUUAAUACCUAGAGAUAGUGGACGUUACUCGCAGAAUAAGCACCGGCUAACUCUGUGCCAGCCGCCGCGGUAACAC
rnacentral:rRNA from 1 species